rnacentral:tRNA from 1 species
GCCCCUAUAGCUCAACGGAUAGAGCAGAUCCGUCCUAAGGAUAAGAUGGGGGUUCAAUUCCCUCUGGGGGCACCA